GUUUUUUUCCCAUACGUGGGACUCACUACAUAUAUGGUGGGGCCCUUCUUCUUCAAACUAAUCAGAGGCUGAAAGGAAAAAGGGAACAGUUGCAGUAAUUAGCCCUGUACUCCUCUCUCUCUCUGAAUCUCUCUCCUUCCUUUCUCAUCUUUCUGGUCCCUAGGGUUUUUCGUUCUCAAACCCUGAGAUUUGGUUUCUCAUUCCGCACAUUAUGUUUCCUGAUUCAGUUGCCUCAUUGUGCCCCCACCGUAAGGUACUCUUUCUAUCUUCGAUCUGUUUUACUUCAGCUGCUUUCAAGAUUUUAUAGAGUUGAUUCACAUAUGCAGCCACACAACACGAGUGUGUGUUUGUUGAGUGUACUUCUAUUUUAGUGUUUCAUCUUCUUUUUUAAACUCUGUUCAGGAGCCUGAUACCUCUGGAUUCUGUUUCAUGCAAGCAUUAUUUACAAGUUUGUGGAUUUCAAAUUAAAAAACAAAGUUUGUUAACUUUUUUUUUUCUUCUUACGGUUCUAUGUUUUUCUCUCAUUUCUUUUCUUGAUCCGCACAGUUUUUUUUUUUUUUUUUUUCUUCAGUUUAUUAAUUUAAGCUUAAGUUCAAGAUGCAAUACAGUCCUUUGUUGUUCGUAAAUUUUUACGUACUUUUUGGAUAUAUUUUCAUCACCUCUCUACCCGGAAAAUAAAUGAAUUGAAGGUUAGUGGAUAUAAAUGUAUAAUUUAAUAGCAAUUUUCUUUAUUACAUUUGUAACUUGUUUCUUCUGAAUAUAGCCUGCCAGGGUAAAUUAGGAUUGUCUCAGCAUAAAAGCUUUAAAAUCAAUCUCAGUAUGACCUUAAUCUGGAAAUUAAUCAUAAAAUGAAAACGGGUUACUGGUCCUGGAGCUUCUAUUCUAUCAUCAAGUUGCUAUCGUCCGUAAAUAGAAGGUUCAUUUGAGGGUAAGACAUAAGAACCUUUAGCAGAUACACAGUAGGGUAAUUAGUGUCCGUGGAAAACUGUUCUGUAUGUGAAUUCAGUUUUGUGUCUUGGUAGUUUCUUAGAAAAGUAUUUGUUUUAUUGAAACUGUUUCGCCCAAGUUCAGUCAAUGCUGUCCGUCACAAGCUUAUCUGAAUUCUGUGAUAAUCUAGUGUUCUGGCGAUUGUUUGAACUUCGAACUCUUUGACAUGUCUGUAACAGUAAGCUAAUCUUAUAAUUCCUCAAUUGACUUUUUCAGGGUUUGGAUUUUGAUGUGUAGUCAAUAAGGAGUUGACAGUUUGAUCAAGCUUUUGGACCAAUCUAAACAGGAAAAGCUUUAAAACGUAUCUGUGGCUCGAUUUUCAUGCUUGGUGGGUCUUGCAUCUGGAGUUCCUCAGAGAUGGACUAGUAUAAAUCUUCCGGGUGUGUGUGUCUCACCUCAAUACUGUAUACAACCAGAUUAAAUGGGUCCAUUUCCUGGUACUUGUGAAAUUGAAGAGCUGAGUUCAGUUGAACAUUCUAGAAGAACUCAUCUACCAAAUGCUGGGAUGAANNNN
rnacentral:lncRNA from 1 species